GUACUCUAAGAGUUUUAUGGAAGUGUCAGAGAUUAUUCCUCAGGACAUACAACAGUCCCAGAUGGCCUUCCACCUCACUAGUCAUUAAAACCUUGGCUCAUCUGGGGAUGCACACAUAAGGACUGAUCUCCCAGUACUCUGAGCCCCUCUGGUUGUCUUAAACUUCCACUGGGAGAAACCAAGACAUGUAAGAGAGUGCUUCGUGGCCACUCCUGGAAGUGACACGCACAACCAGCACUCCAAAAUCCAUUACACGGAUCCCUAGGUAACUGUCCCUCAUCCCCAGGCUGUCUACCUCACCAGAAAUCUUUCUUUUGGUCCUUCUCUUAUGUGUUAGCAUCUUGUACUUAUUUCCCUUGUUUUUUUUCUGACCAACUACUGGCUCACUCUUCUCAGCCCAUUUGUGUCUGCUCCUUUGGACAGCCACCAGAGGUGGGACGGCUCAGAGUAGACCCCGGGCAGAUCUGAUGCACCUGAGUUCACUCUGAAAGGUAAUCCUGAGAGUGGCAGAGGCUCAUCCCUGUGCUGUGCAGUAUCUAAAAGGUCUGUUUCACAUCUCCUGGGUUUGAUCCCUCACUUAGCCUUGGUGAGCUCCUCUCACACCUACUUGCACAUUCUCCUCCGUUGAUGGUUGGGGAAAGACACCUGCAGGAUGUUCUCUGUCACAGAGAUUCUGUAACUCACACUCUUGUGUUUGAACAGGUCACCAUAAAAUAGGCUAUAAGCCAUUUUACUCCCUAGCAAGGGACCCUGCCCAACAACAUGUUUCCCUUUGGGGUUACCUUUUUCACCAUCUGACCCAAGCAAUUCCUGGGUUCAGAAGAGAACUGGGAAACCGAGGUUAAUUCCACCUGCACUGGCCACAAAGUAGAAGGGAUCAAAAGAUUUCUGUGGGUCAGACAAGAAACAUUUAGACAAUCAAAGGGGCUGCCAUCCCUGGCAGCUACUGUUUGCCAACUGUUGAGCAGCCUCACAGAAGGAGGGGAAUGAGAUACUCCGAGAUCUUAGAAUAAUGACAAUGUCCACCCCAGGACAUUAGGGUUAUCACUUUAAUCAACGCUGUCCUUACUGUUCCUGUUCCCCUGUGGGGGUCUUCAGGAAGUGUCACUCCUGUGACUGAAGGUGUUGGGAUGAGGCCCACAAUGCCAGGGCUGGGCAGGUCAUCACGCAGCAUGCUAGCCAUUGCUGUGAUGACAGGGGACGAAUGGACCGCUAGAUCCACUCGCCCUCAGAAUUCUCCGGGAAAGUUCCUAAAUAAGGUCCUGAGAGAGAUUAGCUCUCCUCAGGAUAAGAGGACUCUGGGCUUCUACCAAGGGUCCCAGGAGAGGGUCAGAGCCCAUUCUUGGGAAUAGCAGGGGCCCAUGUGUAGUUGCUCCUCUUCUCAUUACAGGAAUCAACUCUCUCCCUGAGGACAAUGGAAAUUCCACCUCUGUCUCCAAAGAUUCUCCCCUAAGAUGUAUCUUGAUAUACUGGGAACUGGGACCAGCUCCCAUUAGAAAGCUUAAAAGGAAAAAGUACUUACCUUCUUUUGUAACACCGCUUGGCCCUACUAUAAACUAGAGGAUGGGGAAGUCUGACAAGAAUAGGCUAGUCUUAACUAUAGCUUGAGCUCUUCUGUAAAAAGCAGGGAAGUGGAUGGAAAGUCCAUACGGCUAGGCCUUUAUGGCCCUAUACCCAAACCCUGAUCUGUCCCUACUCCUGUAAGGGGCCCAAAGUCACCCC
rnacentral:lncRNA from 1 species